ensembl:lncRNA
GAAUGCGUGUGCGUGCUGCUGGGAAGUGGAUGAUCACCUUUCUGCAGAUGCAUGGAAAGGACAUCUGUCGGGAUCUUGACCUUUCACCGAUCAUCUACAUCCUGCGCAGCUGCAUGUCGUCCCUGCAGCACAGCACGAACAUGCCAUUCCUGUGCCAGGCGGUGGCCAUCCUCACCCGCUGUCACACAGACAUCACAAUUGACAGCUUCUUCCACAGGCGUUGAGCCCACAGACAGCAAGACAUGGAGGAGAAUAUGAGAGUUUUUUCAUCAGUGGUGCAGCAGGGAGAAGAAAGAAAGGAAAAGCAAAGCAAAGCAAAGCAAAGCAAAGCAAAGCAAAGCAAAGCAAAGCAAAGCAAGGAAAAGAGAAGAGAAGAGAAGAGAAGAGAAGAGAAGAGAAGAGAAGAGAAGAGAAGAGAAGAGAAGAGAAGAGAAGAGAAGAGAAGAGAAGAGAAGAGAAGAGAAGAGAAGAGAAGAGAAGAGAAGAGAAGAGAAGAGAAGAGAAGAGAAGAGAAGAGAAGAGAAGAGAAGAGAAGAGAAGAGAAGAGAGGGGAAGAGAGGGGGAGAGAAGAGAGGGGAAAGGAAAGAAGGAAAGAAAAAGAAGG